GCGGGACGGAGCUCAGGCCCCGCCGGAGACGCGCUCGAGAUUCAGAUCUGACUGAAAACAGCUGUCUGAGGGCUCAGCCUGGGAACUCUUUUGAUGCUGGUUCCUGAAAAUGAGCUGUGUUUGAUGUGGUUGGGGAGAUUAUAUGAAGAUCAAAGAAACCUUAUGGUAAAAAAAAAGGCUUUGGCUUUAAUGAAGCCCACCUCUGUGGUAGGAAGGCAGCAGCUAGUUGAACAACUGUACACAGCACAUGAACUGUAUAAGACUUGGCGGGACCAAGAUGUUUUACUCAAGGAUAACUGGGCAAACUCUACUAUACCAAGUGCCAUGUGGGAUCUUUAGUGUCCAACA